GACGAAGGGGGCUAGCGUUGUUCGGAAUUACUGGGCGUAAAGCGCGUGUAGGCGGUUGCCAAAGUCGGGUGUGAAAGCCUUGAGCUCAACUCAAGAAUUGCACUCGAUACUUGGUGACUAGAGGACCGGAGAGGAUAGUGGAAUUCCCAGUGUAGUGGUGAAAUACGUAGAGAUUGGGAAGAACACCAGUGGCGAAGGCGGCUAUCUGGACGGUUUCUGACGCUAAGACGCGAAAGCGUGGGGAGCGAUCCGG
rnacentral:rRNA from 1 species